GAUUAGGGUAAUCUUAUGACGUUCCCCAUUCUACUCCCUCAGACUCUCCUACCUCACAGCGGCGCCGGAGAAAUUCUUCUCCGAGCGAUCGCUCUCCCUCGCCGUCUCGAUCUCUCACGUCCCCGACCUACAUUCUACUUUCUUCUCUCGAUUCCAUUUUCGAUCUCUUUGUCUCAAUUCGCUUCACACAUAAUAGUACCACGAGAAAAAUGAUGAGUAAUGAAGGAGAACGGAAGCUUACUGGCGGUGCCGAUUCUUCGAGAUGCUCAAAUGGAAAAGAAAAUACCAGAGGCACGCCGGAAUUCGCAAGUUGUGAAGAUUGAAAGGAGUUACAGAGAUUAUUGAAGAUUAAUAUUGAAGAAGGCGCGUGGAGGUGAUGAUUCGAUUAUUGAUGCAGAUAAGAUUCUUGAAGAUGAAUAAACGAGAAGCAGCUAUGGAGAUUGAUUAGGAGCGAUUCUUCGAUAAUCAACGUGUGGAGAAGAGAUUUGCACCAUUGAGGACCUGGACUUUGUUCAAAUUUGUUACAGAGAAUUGAAGGGUGAAGUGAGAUGAAGAUUGGAGAAUCAAGAGAGCUUCAGCGAGGGAAGAGAUGGAGAUUGAAAGGAUUGGAGAUUGAAGGAGGGAGGUUUAUGAGAUCGGAAGUUGACGAAGAAGAUGCAGAUGGAGAAUGGGUGUAGAAAAAUGGUGAAGAAAAAUGGUUCCCGAAGCUCAGAAGAAUGAAGAAGGUUUUGUUAUAUAGAGGUUGGUUGGGGGAAGAGAAUCAUUUAGGGCAGAAGGAUUUUGAGCCCUUAGAUUGAAGGAUCUGUUAUGGAACUGAAGGUGGAGAUUGAGUCUGAAAAGGGGUGUUGCAGGUUUGGAAUAACUAUUGCUUGUGAUGUAGGAGCAGAAUUUUUGCGGACCGGUUCGGUUAUAGUGCAACGAUGAAUGCUAGCUUCAACUCUUGUUUGCUGCUAUUUUUCUUUCUUUAAUUAACUUGCAGUAGAUAUAUUUGUGAGGAUGGGCAGAGGAUGAUGGAUGAAAGCUUGAAGGAAUAUACUCAUGGUGAAGUUUAGGGUUAGGAACACCAUACUUUGUAAUGUGAUGUAGAUGUAACAAUACCUUGUAAUGGAUUGAAUUUGGUUUUUGUAAUGAAAUUGUAAUGAAGUUUGGGAGAUUAUAAUGAAUGCAUUUUGUAAUGGAGACAUGGUAUAUUACUGA